rnacentral:rRNA from 1 species
CCUACGGGGGGCUGCAGUGGGGAAUAUUGGACAAUGGGGGGAACCCUGAUCCAGCCAUGCCGCGUGUGUGAAGAAGGCCCUCGGGUUGUAAAGCACUUUCAGUGAGGAAGAACGCCUGGUGGUUAAUACCCAUCAGGAAAGACAUCACUCACAGAAGAAGCACCGGCUAACUCCGUGCCAGCAGCCGCGGUAAUACGGAGGGUGCGAGCGUUAAUCGGAAUUACUGGGCGUAAAGCGCGCGUAGGUGGCUUGAUAAGCCGGUUGUGAAAGCCCCGGGCUCAACCUGGGAACGCCAUCCGGAACUGUCAAGCUAGAGUGCAGGAGAGGAAGGUAGAAUUCCCGGUGUAGCGGUGAAAUGCGUAGAGAUCGGGAGGAAUACCAGUGGCGAAGGCGGCCUUCUGGACUGACACUGACACUGAGGUGCGAAAGCGUGGGUAGCAAACAGGAUUAGAUACCCCAGUAGUC